rnacentral:rRNA from 1 species
UGGGGAAUCUUGCACAAUGGGGGAAACCCUGAUGCAGCGACGCCGCGUGAGCGAUGAAGCCCUUCGGGGUGUAAAGCUCUUUCGGCAGGGAAGAUGAUGACGGUACCUGCAGAAGCAGCUGCGGCUAACUACGUGCCAGCAGCCGCGGUAAUACGUAGGCAGCAAGCGUUGUUCGGAGUUACUGGGCGUAAAGGGUGUGUAGGCGGUUGCUUAAGUUUGGUGUGAAAUCUCCCGGCUCGACUGGGAGGGUGCGCCGAAUACUGAGUGACUAGAGUGCGGGAGAGGAAAGUGGAAUUCCUGGUGUAGCGGUGAAAUGCGUAGAUAUCAGGAGGAACACCGGGUGGUGUAGACGGCUUUCUGGACCGUAACUGACGCUGAAACACGAAAGCGUGGGUAGCAAACAGGAUUAGAUACCCUGGUAGUCCACGCCCUAAACGGUGCAUAUUUGGUGUGGGUCAUUCAGUUGAUCCGUGCCGGAGCUAACGCGUUAAAUA